CAAUUUAUAUAUUGUCCCUUUCUUCCCUCUUUUCUUCCUCUCCUCUCAUUCCCGUAAAUGUAGAAAUUACCUUUGUUCGCACUGUCCAGGAAAUAACCUAGACUAGCAGUCGGAAGCGGUUCAUCAUCAACCAUCGAAGAGUUAUUGCAGAAGAAGGCUGAAUACAGAUAACCAAUUUAUCUUAGAAGUUGCAAUUCAAUAGUUCCAAUAAUAAUUUCUUAAUAUGGUACAACCGAUUUCAUUGAAAAGUAGAAAAAUUGGGAAGUAACUUGUAUUUUGGCGUGGGAGUGGCGCCGAUUUGUUAAUAGAUGCAUUAGGGUUUUUUUUGUGAGCAUUUCGAUUAUCCAUUUAUGGAGUGGGAGUGGCGAAUCAAGAAGAUGCUUUUACGGUUGCAGAGGUUUAUUCAUGAACACGGAUGGUUUCUUGCAAUGUGUUCAACAAUGUCCCAUGACGGAGAUGAUUAUACGGUUGAUGGCGAUAGAGUCGAAGGCCUCGGAGAGCUGAAUGAGACAUGGAACAGGGUUCAGUCUGAAUCUCACAAUCCAUUCCAGCAUGACCAUGGGCCGAGAAUCAUGGCGACACAACAAACAACAUUCCCUAGCCAUUAUACUAUGAGUUUCAGUCAGUCUUUUCCCCAGGUGCAGUACAUGCCAUAGCGGAGUAAACCUCUGUUCUAUCCGAACAUGUGGAAUUUCUUGGGUCCGGGAGGCACGUCAUCACUUCCUCACCCGGAGACCCAGUCCUCGCAGCUGAAGACUGCUCCCUCUACUACAAGCCGGCGACUUUUCUCAACAGAAACACCUAGUCAUCACAACAGUGCAAGUAGAGUAACGGGAAGUACGUAAACAAGAACUGGACCACAGAGGAGGACGUGGAACUGGCUACGGCGUGGUGUAAUAUUACAACAGAUGCCCGGAUAGGUGUAGGCCAGAAGAGACAGAAACUAUAGGAGCAUGUUUGUGAGAGUUUUGCCUUGUUGAUGGAAGAGAAUCACGGGGUACCGACAACUGAAAAUAAAAGAUCCCCGGGUGCUUGUGAGAAUCGAAUGACGGAGAUCAAAUCACAAUGCUCGAAAUGGUGUGCAAUAUGGGUGCAUGCAGAAGGGCAAUAUCGGAGUGGUUGGAGUUCCGCCGAUUUUGAACAAUACUGCGAGGAGAUAUAUUACGAGAAGCAUGGGAUGACUUUCAAAUGCCAGCUUUUUGGUGUAUUUUGAAGGAUGAACCGAAGUAGAUGAAAUAUGUCUUCAGGAGAAAGACGCGGCCGAGCAAGCCAAAAACUACAGGGGAGAACGAAAGAGGUUGUGAGCGAUGCUCCAUGCAAAGGGAAUCUCACGAGCAGUCACCCGUAACACCAGUUGACAUCUCUGAUGAUGGUGUACAUGUUGACAUUGAAGGCUCGGAUAAGGGGUCUAGACAUACUGUGUUGACUGGUCCGGCUGUGCGUGUCAUGGAGCGGCCACUGGAGGCUAAGAAGGCGAAGGCCAACGGAAAAGUUAAUAACCAACAUCAACGCAAAAUCAGACAGCAUGAAGAGUCUCAAGCGUCAGCAACGCGCAUUAUCACUGCUAGUCUCAUGGCAUUCGAUUUUUCGCAAGCGGAAAGGUGGUCUAAGAUUAAAGAGAAUGAAACAAGGCGCGAAAAGCUGAUAGAAGAACAAUCGAGCGAACAGGUAAUUAGGCAUUGUCAUUUCAUGAAAUACACCAUAAUUCAUUAUCACUACAUCGCAGGAACUCAAUUAACAAUCGAUUCAUUAACGUACGGACUAAUGGAGUUUAGCACUCGGCAAGGAUGGCCCGAGAAAUUGUGCAACUGACCAGGGAUUUGGCAAAAAUCGGUGAGGAAAUGAUUGUUGCCUUCCGUAAGUUUGAGGAGUUGGAUCCGGCGAAGCUGGCAACCGAAUCAUCACGGAAAAAGUACGCCAUCAGGCGAGAACAACUUGAGUACUACACGGAUGCACACAAUGGCGUCAAGGCGGCCAUCGCGACCAUCAAGAGGCAUUAGGGCCAACAACAAAACGUAGGUGAAUCGAGCCUUUUCCCAAGUGGAGGGAAAAAGCGUAGUAGGCGUGAAACCCCUGAUAAAAGUAGCUUCUAGUUAGAGUGCCGUUGAUCGACCAGUGCUGUAAGUUUCGACAUGGAAUUGUCUCUUGGGCCAACGAGCGUAGUGACGUGUAACUGUGUUUUUUCCUAGUGUAUUUUUAGGAUAUUUGUUUAAUCAUUCACUACGGCACGCACAAAGGACCCUAGUGUGUUUUAUUGUAUCAUAGUUCCGUGAGAAGUUUGGCGUGUUUCGGUUGAAUA